GCUUACGGCCACGCCACCCUGAACACGCCCGAUCUCGUCUGAUCUCGGAAGCCAAGCUGGGUCAGGCCUGGUCAGUACUUGGAUGGGAGACCGCCUGGGAAUACCAGGUGCCGUAAGCU
ensembl:rRNA 5S_rRNA 5S ribosomal RNA